ensembl:lncRNA
ACACUGAGUGCUUUCCAAAUGUCGCCUCAUUUUUAUUCUCACAGUGACCUUACGUCAGGCCCAUUUUCAGAUGAGGAAACUGAAACUUACAGAGGCUGAGUAAUAUGCCCAGGAUCUCACAGAAAAAUGAGUCUGAGUACCUAUCGGGCCAGGAAAGGAUGUGGGGAAACCUCAGAUGCAUACUACUAGGUGAAAAGAAGCCAAUCUGAAAAAGCUACAUGGCAUAGAAGUCCAACUACAAGACACGCUAGAAGACGCAAAACAUGGAGACGGUAAAAGGGGUGGAUGGCAAUUUCUUUCCUCUUCCAGCCAUGAUGUAGUGAAGUUACCAUGGAGAUGUAUUAAAUUCCUAGGUGAGUCCAACUUAACAGGCACCUGAGAAAAAGGAGAAGGACAAAUCUCUCUGACAAGGAUAAGGACCUGAGCCUGGAGGUGAUCUAGCUUGUCUGCUGGCCCUCAGUUAACCAAUGUCACACCUGGAUUAAAGUUUCUGGCUUCCUCACUCCUGGCGUCCACUGGUCUUUAUAUUGUUUUUUAUUUUUAAUUUUUAAAAUAUUUUAUUGUUUUGUUUCAUUUUAUUUUUUUAGAACUCGGACCUGUAGCCAGGUCGGGUGGCACCUGCUUGUAAUUCCAGCACUCUGGGAAACUGAAGCAGGAAGAUCUCAAAUUUGAGCACAGACUAGGAAAUUUAGCAAGUUAGCAAGACUGUCUCAAAAUAAAACAUUAAGAAAAGGCCCAGGGCUGUAGUUCAGUGGAAAGAC